GUUGGGACUGGGUGAUCUCAAGAGUCCUUUUCUCCCUUUUCUCUUAUAACUAGAAGAGCAUUAUGAUUUCAGCUCAAGUUGUUCCUACACCUCUCCUAACAGAGCAGCUCUUGAAGUAUGAAAAGGAGAUAGGAAAAAUAAUUAGGCUUGCAUUCCUUUGCUAACCUACUUUCUCUUACAGAAGCUCUUGUAAAACUCUGUGUUUCCAUGUAUUUUUCCACGUAAAAAGUGUCUAAAGUAGGAGAAGGAAGACUUGAGAAAGAGUCUGAAGAAAAGGUAUUCUGGGGCCACCAAGUGAAGAUGUGGAGUCCGGAGAAUGCUGCCCGGCUAUCCUGAGAGACAUCCAUAAUGACAUCUGUCAGGGGCGAUGGCGGGCAUUGCCAGCCUCUCCCCACCCCGGGAAGCUCACCUGAUACCUCCACUACGCACUCGGCUGCCUUUGAGCAGCAGCUUACGUGGGAGUCACCUCCCAUUGCCUUGGGUGAGUACGCACGUGGGGUACUCUCAGGGGACAUCUGUGCUUGCUCAAGGAAGGCUGAAGAGCCAUGCUGUUUGUCUAGGGUGACAGGCAGCCUUGCCUAACGGACAGACCCAUCAAUAAUCUAUGGCUCAGUGGAGAAAGAACCCCAUGAAUAAGAAAUGCUGCUGUUUGGAGAAGCCGCGCCAACCAUGCCCUGGUUCCAGGGAAACAGAAUAUGCUCGGGGUGACACAGCGCUCUCUGAACUUUCCAGUUACGUCACCAGAUAGCUUAGAUCAGGAGCAAUUUUAGAAGAUGCAUUCAACAUGCUAAUGCCCUUUCGGCCAGCUUGAUUCCUUUGGGUCAAAGUCUGGUCAGAAACACACUUGACCAGAAGUUUGCUUAUGUGUUUGCCUUUAAGACUGGUCAAGGACACUGAAUUAUUUUUGGCACGCUCAGCUCCACAUCAGGUCACUGUGUAAGUAUAGAAAUGUCUAUCUGGGUGGUGUUAGAUCCAAUAUGGAAGACUGAAAAAUCAACAGAUUUCCCAAAUAUAUUUUCGAUUCCAUUUAAAGCUCACGAUCUUCUAGGUCUGUCUAGUUCUUCUUUAUGGUAACAUUUAAUUAUUAAUCCUUCCUUACUUUUAGGAUCUAAUUUAAGAGUGCAUUAAUGGAUUGCUCACUAGGGAGUUUGCCAAAACCAUGGCUGGACCGAGUCGUCAGCAUGUGAAGGUUGAGUGCGUGGAUUUGGAGGCAGGUCGACCUGUGACGGAGUCUGGGCUCCCCCCACUCGCCAACUGCCUGACCUUAGGCAGGUUUUGUCUCCUCCUUCAUAAGAGGAGGCCGUCUCAUAAAGUAUGAGCAAGCACAGAGCAAGGCAGGUAAUGAAUUUUCAAUAAAGGUCAGGCAUUUUUAAUUGUUUUUCUUAGUUGUUCAUCCAACAAAUGUUCGUCGAGUGUUUUGUAGGGGCUCGUGAUUGGGGACAUGGUAGUAGGAAACAUACAGUGUGGGCACUCUUAGGGCUUCUAUUCUGGAAGUAGGGUAGACCAAAAACAAAAGUAAGUAUUAUUUUCUGGGUUGGGUUAAAAACUAAUAAAAAAAAAAAGUAGGUAAGGAGAGAGAAUGUUAGAGGAGGUAGGGAGGGGUGCUGGCACUGCCUCAGGUUUUCUGAUGACAUUUAAACCGGAGACAAAAAAAACAGUAAGGAAAGAAGCCAGGUCACAGAGAUCAUUUCAGACACAGGGAACUGCCUGUGCCAAGGCUCAGGGGCAGGAGUGUGCCUGGCGUGUUCAGGAAGAGCCAGAGAGAAAGUACAGCCAGAGUGGAGAAAGCAGGGGGAGGGGAGGGGGUGUUAGGGAGGAGGCGGGGAGCAGAACACGUAGAACCUUACGGGCCAUGACAAGGACUCAGGAUUUUACUGCCAGUGAGACAGGGAGCCACCAACAGGUUUUGAGCUCAGGAGGAUCAUGAUAUGAUGGUGUUUUGAUGGGAUUCCUCUGCCUGCACCGAGAAGCGUAGACUGCGGGGGGGUGGGGGGGUGGGCAGACAGGGAACAGGAAACCAGGUAGAUUGCACCUGAAAUCACCUGUGAAAUAGAGGACAGUGGUUUGGACAAGAAUGGUCAUAAUAAAGAGGUGAGAAAAGGUCAUAUUUUGCAUGUAUUUUAAUGACAGAGGCAGUAGGAUUUUUAGGUAAGGUGGGGUUUGAGAAACAGAAAGAACCCAAAGAUGACUCCAAGCCUGUGUAGCAGACACUACAGUUCUAUUUAUCACAAUGACAGACAGGGAUGCGGCAGUCGAUUUGGCCAUAUAGGGGGAAAGAAAUUGAAGAUUCUGAUUUGGGUAUAGUAACUUUGAACUGCCUAUUAACUACCUGGAAGAAGAUGCCAAGGGUCGGUUUGAUACACUGGUCUAGAGCUCAGCAGAUAUCAGGGUCUGAGACAAAACUGUGAGAACUCACCAAUAUGGCCGGCUCUGUUUGCGCUGGGUAGGCCUGUACUUCCUCCAAGUUAGGCAUAGCCAUGUGACAUGCCUUAGCCAAUGAAAUGAGAGCAGAAGUGACGGACAGCUCAAGGCUUAAUCCUUAACAGCAUGAUUCACUCACUAUGUCCUGUUUUCCUGGCCAGGUGAUAGAGGUGUAGGCCCUGAGUGACCAAGUGAGCAGAUGUCCUUGCUGAUUUGUGAUGGACAUUUCAAAGUGAAAGACACAAAAUGUGUGCUGUUCCAAAUCACUGAGCUUGGAAGGAAGUGUGCAGAAAGAUCCAGCCUAUUCUGACAAUUGGGUCUGACGUGCAGACACAGAUGGAUUUUAAACCCACAAACCAGAUGAGGUCAUCUUCAGCACAAGUGUUAAUGACAACCAGGAGGGACUUGAGGGCUGAGCCCUUCAGUGUCACUGGGAUAGGAGAAGAAAGGAAGUCCAAGAGAAGGAGACUGUUAAGGACUUAAUGUUUGGUCCCCACAAAAUUCGUGUUAUUCGUUGCCUUUAUCACCUACCUGAAGAGUAUAUUUACUGGCUUAUUAAUUUCGAGUCUUCCCUGUUCCCAGAAUUAAAGCUUCAUGAGGACCAGAACUUUAUGCUUUGAGGAGGGAGAAGAAGCUCUAUAAUGAAGACCUAGGAGUGUGGGUGACUUAAGAGAUCCAGAGUGGGACCUUUGAACAGCUCAGAAGACCCAGAAGCCUAAUGGUCAUGAAUUAAAACACCACCUAUUUAGAAACGUGCUACUCUGUAGAAUUGUUCUGUCUUAUUUCUGCACAGUCACAAGAGGUUAGGAGAAGAAAAUCCACGAGAUGCCUGAUGCUUGGGUUGCCCCUUGAACAAAAUUGUGGAAUGUGUUUUGUGAGCCCCCAAGAGUAAUAAUUAGCCAACAUUGCCCCCCAAGAUACCUGUCCACACCAAUAUCCCAUAUUUUCUAUUAGACACUGGUGUUUUCUUUUUAGGAAACUCAAAGGACCCAUCUGGACAGACUAUGUCACUCACAUUACAGAAAGCUGAACAACCAGAAAAAUAAAAAGAAAAAAUUUUUAAAAGCUGUAUAAAGUUUGAGUGUUUGAUUUGCCUCUUCAGGAUGAAGCUACCUUAAAGACUAGGAUAGCCUUUGUUUAUAACAAGUGUAGUUUUGUAAUAGUGGCAACUAACUUAAAAGGAUCACAAGACAACAGUAACGUCUCACUUGCCGAGUGACCAAAAAUGCAUUCUCUGGAACAAAUUA
rnacentral:lncRNA from 1 species